AUCCAGUUGAUGAGUCCGAAAUAGGACAAAACACACGUCCUAGAU
rnacentral:hammerhead_ribozyme from 1 species